ensembl:lncRNA
UGUAGGAAAUAGAUAGUAUUGAAGUAUGCUGCUGCUGCUAAGUCACUUCAGUUGUGUCCGACUCUGUGCGACCCCAUAGAUGGCAGCCUACCAGGCUCCCCCGUCCCUGGGAUUCUCCAGGCAAGAACAUUGGAGUGGGUUGCCAUUUCCUUCUCCAGUGCAUGAAAGUGAAAAGUGAAAGUGAAGUCACUCAGUUGUGUCUGACUCUUAGCAACCCCAUAGACUGCAGCCCACCAGGCUCCUCCGUCCGUGGGAUUUUCCAGGCAAGAGUACUGGAGUGGGGUGCCAUUGCUUUGUCUGAGGAUUGAAGUAUAAUUUCCUUUAUAGUCCCUAUAGAGUGACUGUCAGUUUAUGAAGCCAAUAGUAUAGUGUCGGAAAACACAAACUUGAGCCAGACUGACGUCGUGGUGAAUCACUGUCUCUUUGGAUCUCGUCUGUAAAAUGGGGGUGAUGGCGGCGCCUCCCUUGCAGUGGCUGUGGAGAUUAGCUAGGCCCAUGGGAAAGUGCAGGGCCACAGGCAGGCCUGGCAUGUAGUACCCUAUUUGUAAUGUUGGUGGUAGAUAGUCAUUAUUCAUGCUACUCAGAACUCGGAUUUAGAGAUUGUACUGGUUUUCAAAAUAGUUUCCCAUCUAAAUUUUAGGUCAGAAACUAUGAGCCCUGCUUGAGGUCUUAUGGGAAGCUCACUAAUAGAACUGUCGUGAAGUAGUCUUGAGUCGUGCAGAUGCCUGGCCAGAUUGAAAGCCUAGUUCACCACUGAGGAAACAGGUAUUACAGAUGUUGUUUGUGCUCUGCUUCAGAAGUCAGAAAUUGCCAGCUUUUAUUUCUGAAUUGUGAUAUCCUCACAGAGGAUUUUGUCCAUGCCAUUUCAGAAUUUAAAUUUAUGCCAUGUGUGAAUGAGUGGCAAAGCGCCCAAAUGAGAAUGGGGAAAAUAUCUUCUUUUUCCAGCCAUAUUCAGAUACCUCAAACAACCAUGAAAUACAAUUUUUCUUCCAGUUUUCCAAAAUAUUUAUCUGGGUUGAGACCAAGAAUGAAAGCAUUUUAGGCCAAAAUGCUCCUUGGAAAUAUUAUGAUUUAUAAGAGAGUUCUCUUUUCAAUUUUAGGCAUAUGUUAUGAGGUAUCUUAUUUAUGAACACAAAAUUUUAGUGCAUUUUUGCAUCAGUGAAAUACUUCUGUUUCUUUUCUAUGUUAUGAGUUAUUUUUCU